rnacentral:rRNA from 1 species
CCCUUAGACGUUCUGGGCCGCACGCGCGCUACACUGACCAGUGCAACAAGCAUCCGUCCUUGGCCGACAGGCUCGGGCAAUCUUUGAACGCUGGUCGUGAUGGGGAUAGACUUUUGCAAUUUUUGGUCUUCAACGAGGAAUUCCUAGUAAACGCAAGUCAUCAACUUGCAUUGAUUACGUCCCUGCCCUUUGUACACACCGCCCGUCGCACCUACCGAUUGAAUGGUCCGGUGAAAUCUCCGGACUGGCGUGAGUCGGAGCAAUCUGACAAACACCGGAAAGUUGAUUAAACCUUACCAUUUAGAGGAAGGUGAANUCGUANCA